ACUAACAAGGAUUCCCCUAGUAACGGCGAGUGAACCGGGAAGAGCUCAAAUUUGAAAUCUGGCGUCCUCAGGGCGUCCGAGUUGUAAUCUAUAGAGGCGUUUUCCGUGCCGGACCGUGUCCAAGUUCCUUGGAACAGGAUAUCAAAGAGGGUGACAAUCCCGUACUUGACACGACGACCGGUGCUCUGUGAUACGUCUUCUACGAGUCGAGUUGUUUGGGAAUGCAGCUCAAAAUGGGUGGUGAGUUCCAUCUAAAGCUAAAUAUUGGCGAGAGACCGAUAGCGAACAAGUACCGUGAGGGAAAGAUGAAAAGCACUUUGGAAAGAGAGUUAAACAGUACGUGAAAUUGUUGAAAGGGAAACGAUUGAAGUCAGUCGUGACCGAGAGGCUCAGCCGGUUCUGCCGGUGUAUUCCCCUCGGUCGGGUCAACAUCAGUUUUGUCCGGUGGAUAAGGGCGGUAGGAAGGUGGCACCCUCGGGUGUGUUAUAGCCUGCCGUCGCAUACAUCGGGUGAGACUGAGGAACGCAGCUCGCCUUUAUGGCCGGGGUUCGCCCACGUCCGAGCUUAGGAUGUUGACAUAAUGGCUUUAAACGA
rnacentral:rRNA from 1 species